rnacentral:tRNA from 1 species
AAAAGGAUAAGCUAACUAA